AUAAUUGCUUUUUCUCUUUGUGACUAGGUGGUUGUAAUAAAUUUUCUAUUCUAUUAGAUUGUUUUCCAAGGGUAUGAAGACAGAGAUUUGUAUAAUUAUUUUGUUCAAUUAUGUGUGGAAGUAAUUCUAUACGAGGUAUAUUAGCAUUAUUCAACUUGUAAGGUGUGGCUACUGUUUCAUAAACAACUAUUUGAGUAGAUGGCGAUCCUUCAGUUUGGUCUGAAGAUUUUGGUACUGUAGUUGCCAUCCCUUGUAUUUUCAGACUUUGUUCUGGAGGGUGUAUGGAUUUAAUUGUUUUUCCCUCUGUUGUAUUAAAGGUAGUGUAUUGGGUUUCUACUGUAUUUAAUUCAAACUCAGGAAUUGGGAUAUUAUGUUGUUUAAGAGUAUCCCUUAACCAAUCAAAAAAACAUUUUCCUUUAUUUCC
rnacentral:lncRNA from 1 species